GGGAGGUUUAAGUUUUGUUGGCAGCAUAAUGGCAAAUGGUAGUAGUUAACAGAAUGGGAUACGGAAAACACAUGGCUUUGCGAAAUCAGGGUGAAGUAUGAAUAUGGCAAAUUAUAAGUUAUGAAGGAGCGAUCUUCUGUAAGCCAUGGUGGCGUUUACACAGACCGACGGAACGACCGACAGCAAAGGACCCAAACUGCGUGUCACCCGCCAAAACAUCACCAGAGAGGCUGAUAUGAUGUCUUUAUCUACAAAGUACAAAAAGUGAAAAGAUGGCCUGGAUAACCUCUAUGACCGCAUACUUCUUCAUCUUCUUUUAUGCUUGACACAAGGAACAUGCUACAGUAAGCGAACAGACCUUCACUACUGAAUAGAUACAGAAGGCGCCAACAUCAACGUCACUUUUGACAUCGUCAUCUCUUGAUGUUCAGCAGGAGUCCGAGCAUAACCGUGUGACCACUGGUGAAGGGAUGGGUCAGUCCAGCUCUCUGUCGGGCAGCAGAAACAGACCCAUACAGGGACUCCAUCUUUACCUGGCUGCUUAAAGACAGACUGGGCGGCAACUCUUAAACCAUCAUGAUCGCAACUGCAAAGUUAACGUUAAGUAAUGCUGGUGGGAGGACGUUGUGGCUGAGUUUCCCUCGAGUGCUAGCUGCAGAGCCAGCAGGAGCAUCCGUCCCCUUCAUCCGUGUUGAUUUUGGCGCAGGGCCGCCGGUCCCCUCCCCUGCUCGUACUGCUCCCUGAGCCCACAACCCCCAACCUCUGCCUGUUACCCCAAUGUCCCGUAUUCAUCCCCACACACAGCUGUAUCACUCAUAGUGACCCCGAUUGUCAAUGCACACAUAUGAACCAACAAACACACGUGCCGUGGGAUAUAACUAGUUCAAACAGAUAGUUGUGCAUGCAAUUGCCAUCAAAUAAAUAAAUAAAUAAAAUGGCUAAUUACAAGUUCCUUUUUGUCAC